CCCCGGGCCGGGACAUUUUCUCAGGCUUUCAAAAAGAGCACUUUCUUUCCUGCCUAAUAUUUAGCUCCUUCAAAUGCAAAUGGAGAGGUUUCGCUCCAAGUAUUUGAACAGGUGAGCUGAAAUACCUGUCUUGACAGUAGGACCAGGGCAAGCAUGGAUUGUGCUGUUAUCGGACAGGCAUCAUAACAGUCUGGAGAACACUGUUCAAGCUGACACCGUAGCUUCAAGUAACUAGUUUGGUGAUGCUGGGUUUUGAGGAUGGAGGACAAUGCUGUUGAAAUACACUUUGCUGAAAUCAGUCAUGGACUUAAAAUCCCAGUUAAAUUCAAAGGCGAUGGAGACGUCCAAGGACUCAAAAGGAAACCGAGAAGGGAAACAAUCAGCUCUGUUCUCUCUGAGCUGGGGGAGUGAGCUGUAAUAACGGAGCACAAGAACACACUGGGAGCCAGCAAGCCCGAACACACAGGUUAGCACCGCCUGGCUGACCUAACUCGCAGAGUGCAAACUGUCUUGGAGGCUGUUGAAAAGUUCCUGGUUCUCCUGUGGUAGCUGUGGUGCCCACCAGACACAGCAGCCUGAGAAUGAGUGUGAGGUUCCGCUCCUUCCACACCAGCAGCCUGGGAAUGGCCACGGCAGGAAAUAUAUUGUAAGCGACAUCUUGGGGAUAGAAGAGAAGACCUUAGCCUGAGUUCCUGAUCCAAGUGGAGGAGAGCCAUGCCCUGACCUGAGAUCAUCACGAUUGUCCCAAUCAGUUUUGGACAGACUUUGGGCCCCAUGUUGGUACAGACUAAUUUCCAUGGCUACUCCUGCAUAAGUGAAUUUGCCAUUCUCUGGCUCCAGAAGAACUUGGAUCUGGGAUGACCAGAGCAUCAGACUUCAUAUUCCCCUGCUGCUGCCGGCUGCUCUGAACUCUCAUCCAUCAAGCCUAGGGACCAGAGAGAAAAGGACUCUCCUCACUGCCAGCUCAGCCAGAAAAAUCCCUGGAAAAGACAUUGGCUCGGUGUGUUUGGUCACGAACAAGGUAAGGGGUGGGGUGAGGAGAUGUGCAGGCCAGAAUAACUGAAUAACCACUCUAAAGCGCUGUCACCCUGGGAAAGGCACAAAGAAACAGACUCCAGCUCAAUUUGACUAUGGAGGCAGCCUCUGAAGGUAAGGUUCUGAUCAUUGGAAGUGUUUAAUUGCUAGCAGGUGGUGACCUGCUGUGUAGAAGGGUUCAUGUGUGGGGUUUAGAAUUUGACUAGAAAAUCUUUAAAUGUCCAUAUGAUUCCAAGAUGCUUUACUUCUAUAAAUUUUCAGUAUUGGGUUUUUUGCAUAAUUAAUUUCAAAGAAUUCAGGUUCCAAGUAUAAGAAAUGAAAUAAUCACCACUCUUCAAAAUUGCACUGAAUCCCAAGGGACCUGAGGAUUACUGCAGAACUAUGAGAAGUGACCCAACAAAGCCCCUUCAUAACCACCCGACACUCCUCCACUGGGAUGACAAGGAGCGACUGCUGUGGUCAGCAAGAUAAUGGAAUGCAGUCCUUUUGGCCAGCCCCCUACUAUUAACCAAGUUGAAGACAGAUGGAAGUGAGAGAAGAGGAGAUAAGAGAAGACUUGCUUCCUCAAGGCUACGCUACACAAGUUGUUAUCUAAGUUACAGGCUGUAUCCACCUGCUUCCUCAGGAAAAUGAAACGUAAUCUCUCUGCAUUGUGAAUAGGUCUGCAAAAUUUAAGAGAAUGGAGAUGCAUUUUCCAACCAGAAGAGUUUAGAGGAAGGCUCUUCUCUCCCACCCUACAGGAAAGGUACGUGUAAGGCCCAGUCCCUCUCUAGUCUGCGCUGUGUUCACUGACAUCAGGGGUACCGUUCGGCAACCUGGCUGAACAGCAGAGUUCAGGGCUGGGCCCGCAAUGGGAACCUUGUUGAGGAAUAACAAGGUGAGCUGUUAUUGCUAUAAAAAGAAAAACAUGCUUGCUCAUUCACUGCAGAACUGUAGGAAAGAAAAAAAAAACUUCACAAAGACAACAGGCUGACUACAAGAAAAUGGAAUUAUCUUUUGUUCAUGCACAUUCCGUUUGGUAAGAGAAGAAUUAUAUGCUGUUGGGCUUGGUACCCUUUAAAACAUUGAAAAAUCAAUCAAUCAAAUAAAUUAGGUACUUUGGAAUUUUACAGUUGAUGCCAAGGACAUGCCAUAGCGAUUCCUUAUGAAUUCAGAACUAUUUUUUAAUAAGAUAUAUUGCAUUAAAAACAUUUUGAAAUGAUUUGAAACAACACAAUAAAAAUAAACGUGGAAAGAGAAAUAACAGCAGGGGCCUCAUUCGGGAGGGGAAAGAAAUCCAUGCAAAGCUUGGCCCUGUUCAAUUUUAAAUGUGGUAUCAGGGCUUUGUUUUUCAAAAGAAACUUCAAAGAGUCAAGUCGGCUAAAGCCCGUGGGUGACCUUGUACAGCGUGGGGAUAGUCUUCGCCACACACUUCUCAGCCUGAGAAUUCGCUGUGCAGAGCCAUGCACUCCUCCCCGGCCAAUGCGCCUCUUCCCUGGCAAUUCUAAGGUCGGUCCUUGUACUAAAGCCCGGGGCAAAUGCUCCAUGGACGUAGUUACCAAUGUGAAAGCAACACUGUGCAUUUUUUUUCUAUCAAUCUAUCUAUCCAGCUAUCUAGAGUUGCAACUAUUCAUUUAUGGACUGAUUGUCAUUUGUGGAUGUUUGCAUACAUAUUUUAACCCACAAAAUAUGUAUGCUUUGUAUGCUUUAUCUUAACAGAGCUUUAACAUCCAGAGCUAUCUAUUGGGUCACACGUUUUUGUACUCUUCAAAUGCAAAGCCCAACAUGUAUAAACCAAGUGUGCUACAUGAUGCCAGAAUACCCCCUACCUAGCUCUGCAAGAAUAAACAGAUUCUAUUCAGUG